UGCUCAAUGCCACGUUGACGGUAGCGAAGCGCCGUGACCGUCGAUGCUAUGAUUGAGCAAAAGUCGAUCCUUUGGAGUUUCGCAUCUUGAUAGGAAUCUGUGGACUGAUUACCAUUCAUCCAUGGAGCCGAUUUGUGCGAUUACAUCC